UGGGGAAUAUUGGACAAUGGGCGCAAGCCUGAUCCAGCCAUGCCGCGUGAGUGAUGAAGGCCCUAGGGUUGUAAAGCUCUUUCACCGGUGAAGAUAAUGACGGUAACCGGAGAAGAAGCCCCGGCUAACUUCGUGCCAGCAGCCGCGGUAAUACGAAGGGGGCUAGCGUUGUUCGGAUUUACUGGGCGUAAAGCGCACGUAGGCGGACUUUUAAGUCAGGGGUGAAAUCCCGGGGGCUCAACCCCGGAACUGCCUUUGAUACUGGAAGUCUUGAGUAUGGUAGAGGUGAGUGGAAUUCCAAGUGUAGAGGUGAAAUUCGUAGAUAUUCGGAGGAACACCAGUGGCGAAGGCGGCUCACUGGACCAUUACUGACGCUGAGGUGCGAAAGCGUGGGGAGCAAACAGGAUUAGAUACCCCUGGUAGUCCACGCCGUAAACGAUGAAUGUUAGCCGUUGGGGAGUUUACCCUUCGGUGGCGCAGCUAACGCAUUAAACAUUCCGCCUGGGGAGUACGGUCGCAAGAUU
rnacentral:rRNA from 1 species